UACGUAGGGACCAAGCGUUGUUCGGAUUUACUGGGCGUAAAGGGCGCGUAGGCGGCUUGACAAGUCACUUGUGAAAUCUCCGGGCUUAACUCGGAACGGCCAAGUGAAACUGUCAUGCUAGAGUGCAGAAGGGGCAAUCGGAAUUCUUGGUGUAGCGGUGAAAUGCGUAGAUAUCGGGAGGAACACCAGUGGCGAAGGCGACUACCUGGCCUGUUCUUGACGCUGAGGCGCGAAAGCUAGGGGAGCAAACGGG
rnacentral:rRNA from 1 species